rnacentral:lncRNA from 1 species
UCAAUGCCUAUUAAGAUACUCAACAUUGAGUCAUAGUUGAAGUCCACAGAAGAUGUACAAAUUCACUUGAUGUUACUUCAUGAGUACAAUUAGGAUUCUUAUGUAAAGUGACAAGCUCCUCAAUGCCUAUUAAGAUACUCAACAGUGAGUCAUAAUUGAACUCCACAGAAGAUGUACAAGUUCACCUCAUGUUACUUCAUGAGUACAAUUAGGAUUCUCAUGUAAAGUGACUAGCUCCUCAAUGCCUAUUAAGAUACUCAACAUUGAGUCAUAGCUGAAGUCCACAGAACAUGUACAAGUUUACUUGAUGUUACUUUAUUGGUACAAUUAAGAGUCAUAUGUAGUAGGCUAGGUCUAAAAUCAUCAUGAAUAUUCAUUACAGUAAUAACUGAAGCAAAAGAAACAAUACAAUUUUGGAAUCAAUUUGAAUGCAGCAAGCAUAUUGCAGCUCCUAUGCAAAUGCAGCCAUGGUCUCAGAAUCGAUAGAAACCAGGACAUUAACGUAAAUCCAGAGAAACGUUGUACUUAGCCUCAAAGUAGCCCAUGGUGCAGCAUGCUGCAUCCACGACAAUGACGUUAACACGCGCGCUUAGCUGCAUCCUGGUGGCUGGCUAUACACAAAGUGCAUCUGCCGCUUGUUGUUGGGUGCAUCCUCUCUACGCGGGAAGGAUUCUGUACGCGAAUCGAGCUCCCAGGGAAUUUCGGGGACGCGUUGCUCGAAAAUGAUUGCAUUAGCGAAAUAAUUGAAGCUGUCCUACUCCGCACGCGUGGCCGUUCUCCCUGUCUUCGUAAUUACCUGAUACAACGUGGCGAGGAUGAGAAAAUGAAAUUGCGAGGGGUGGUACUUGCUGUUCAGGAAAUUAAAAGCGAAACGCGUUGUUGUCAAACGAUUUUAACAGAUUGCAGAUUGACGGUCCAAGUAGAUUAGGAUCUAAGUUUCGACCUAACUUAUUAAUGGAAUUAAGAGCUUGUGGACUGACUCUUGGAUGUGAUACUUUGAUUUAGAUCCUAGAUGCUACAUCUGGAUUUAGGUAUCUUGUACUGUAAUGUGGACUGGCCCUUAGAUGUGAUGUCAGGAUGUGAUACUCUGAUCUAGAUACUACAUCUGGGUGUAGACCUCUUGUACUGUCAUAUGAACUAGCUCUUAGAUGUGAGACUUUGAUCUAGAUCUUAGAUACUACAUCUGGGUGUAGACUUCUUGUACUAUAAUAUGGACUGACUCUUAAAUGCCAGGAGCAUAGGAUGUGAUAUUUUGAGUUAGGCUCCAGAUACUAGAUCUGGGUGUAGUCUUCUUCUACUAUAAUAUGGACUGACUCUUAAAUGUCAGGAGCAUGGGAGUGAUAUUUUGAGUUAGGCUCCAGAUACUACAUCUGGGUGUAGACUUCUUGUACUAUAAUAUGGACUGACUCUUAAAUGUCAGGAGCAUGGGAGUGAUAUUUUGAGUUAGGCUCCAGAUACUACAUCUGGGUGUAGACUUCUUGUACUAUAAUAUGGACUGAUUCUUAAAUGUGAGGAGCAUGGGAGUGAUAUUUUGAGUUAGGCUCCAGAUACUACAUCUGGGUGUAGACUUCUUGUACUAUAAUAUGGACUGACUCUUAAAUGUCAGGAGCAUAGGAUGCGAUAUUUUGAAUCAGGCUCCAGAUACUAGAUCUGGGUUCAGACAUAGAUCCACACCUAAAUUCAAGUUCACAGUAAAUGUGGAUUUGUCAUUGUAGUGGUCUCGCUAGACACCAGGGUGUCUUUAGUAGCCAGACAUAAUGAUCAUGGGAAAACUGUGGACUAUGAGCAUUUGCAAUGGACAUGUCCUAUAACGUUCUGCAAGCGGGCGCUAUACGCAGCGAUGGUUUACAGGAGAAUGCAGUAGUUAUUAACGGAAUAAAAGCUCGUUUCGCCGGCGGUCGCUUUCA